rnacentral:lncRNA from 1 species
UUCGCUGCCAAGCACGGGCUCCGCCGGCUCCAGCCGACCCGGUACCAGUGGUUGGAUCCAAGAGAAUUCCGGAACCCAAACGGUAAUAGGGACGCCUGGGUGAUUCUUGCCCCCUACUGGCGGCGUGUCCCACUGGCCUUGUGCUGAGAGAAAUCCAAGUCUCCAAACAUUUGGAGGUUAAAGUGUGAACUUUUCAGAAGAAAGUAGAGGCAGAGGGAAGAAGAAAGAAAAUAAAAGUCAUGGCAAGAUGAUUACAAAUCAUUCAACUCGAACUCAGCGUUUGUAUGUACUACAGGAAACUCGGAAGCCUGCUGUGCAGAUAACUGCUGUGGUUGGAUGUGCAUUCUAGAAGAAUCACUCAGGAAGCAACGUACCAGAUGGAUCCUAAGAACUGGACUGCAGGUAUGAGGAGUAGACAGAAGAACAGAAACUGAAAUGGAGUAAAAUUGUUGAACAAUAGAAGAAGACCAGGUUCAAGAAAUACUAGGAGGUAAAGCCAAUAACACACAGUGACUGGUUGGAUAGGGUUUAUAAGGAGAGAAGAGUCUAGAAUGAAGCCUCAGUUUCUCACUUUUGUACCUAGGUAGAUAACAAUGCCAUAGCUGAAACUGUGACCUCAGGAAGACAAACAGAUGUGGAGAGGAAGACAGUAAUAUGGAAAGUUUUGCGUAUCUAUUUUUACGUAAUAAAGAACCCCUAAACCUAACA